AUAAUAACCUACACAAAUAUGUCCCUCUAAAGAAUUUGAUUUAUUUUCCGUUUAGGACACCUGAGUCAUAAUGGGACUGCUCCAACAACUUUAGAAUGAACAAAAGGACACUUGAGUCAUGAUGGGACUGCUCCAACAACUUUAGAAUGAACAAAACAAGGACACUUGAGUCAUGAUGGAACUGAUCCAACGACUUUAGAAUGAAGAAAACAAGGUAAGGCCAUCUUCUAUAGUUCUUUGUGAACCUGGAAGUCCCAACAAGGACUGCUUUCACUGCUGGACACUAGAAAGAGGUUCCGCAGCCUCUGUAGCAGAACCCUUAGGUUCUGUAACAGCUUCUUCCCACAGGCCGUAAGACUCUUGAACGCAUCAUAAUAAUUCCCUCCAAAAAUGGAUUAAG